rnacentral:lncRNA from 1 species
UAGUCCCCAAAGUUUGGAAUUAGCAAAAAAUAUCGCAAAUUUUUUGCAAUUUUUCAGCAGAAAAUCGUGCCGCCGGAGGUCGUUUUCGGGAUGCCUAUUUAGACCUUUCCCAGAAAAGAUUCCUUGCACUGUUGGGAAAUUCUGCCUUUUUGCACUUGUAGAGAAAACUUUUUUCACGUGAUGUGUGGUCGUAGAAUCCCAAAGUCAGAUCUGGGUAUUCCGGAGGUGGACCGACAGAAUCACUGGAGGUGAAAAAAGGUGAAAAGCCCCAUACUC